GAUGAACGCUGACAGAAUGCUUAACACAUGCAAGUCAACUUGAACUUCGGUUUGGGUGGCGGACGGGUGAGUAACGCGUAAAGAACUUGCCUCACAGAUAGGGACAACAUUUGGAAACGAAUGCUAAUACCUGAUAUUAUGAUUUUAGGGCAUCCUAGGAUUAUGAAAGCUAUAUGCGCUGUGAGAAAGCUUUGCGUCCCAUUAGCUAGUUGGAGAGGUAACGGCUCACCAAGGCGAUGAUGGGUAGCCGGCCUGAGAGGGUGAUCGGCCACAAGGGGACUGAGACACGGCCCUUACUCCUACGGGAGGCAGCAGUGGGGAAUAUUGGACAAUGGACCAAGAGUCUGAUCCAGCAAUUCUGUGUGCACGAUGAAGUUUUUCGGAAUGUAAAGUGCUUUCAGUUGGGAAGAAAAAAAUGACGGACCAACAGAAGA
rnacentral:rRNA from 1 species